rnacentral:lncRNA from 1 species
CCCCUCCCCCUAAUUUUUUUCCCUCGUACGACUAUAUGUUUAUCUCUCAGGGCAAUCUUUUAUCAAAUACUGUGUUCCAGGGACUGGUUGAAUGUAUAAAACUCGUACGUACUUUUUAAUUAACUACCCAUUUCGCAGUUAAAUUAUAGUUAACUCCAAAAUCCAUGAUCAGGAUUGGUUAACUUUCGCACUAUAACUAUAGUUCACAUUAACUACUUUUUUAUACAACCGUACCACCGGCCAAUGGUACGUCUAUAUAAUUGAUAAAUAUACAAUGAGAUGCCAUUUUAAGAAUUGCUAUCACUGCGUAAUACGUUUAUUUCUUGUUUUAUUUCUUGUUUAAUUUAUUGGUACAAAAGUGGUUUGAAAUUAAUCGAUAGUAUACCGGUCCAUAUAAUCUGUCAGAUAAACACAUUUGUUUUCUCUAUGAAUUACUGGACACUGGGCAAUUUUUCAUCUUAAUUAAUGAAAGGGAAAAUUCAAUAUAGCAGAUAAAAUAUAUCGUGAAAAUGUUCAUAUAGUAGCUAGUUCAGUUUAUUUAAUUUCGUUGGUCGAAUGUUUGGACGAAACACAAAUGAUUUUUGAACUUUUUGAAUUCAUUAAAAAUAUAUAGACGCCUGUAAGUUUAUCGUUCUUCUUCAAAGAGUAUAGUUGCAGACAACUACGCAAUGAGUAUUUCAUACAAAAAUUUGUUGUGUUAUGGAAACGGUUACACUGCGAUUUGUCUUCCCAAUUUAAGGCGCACUGAGUGUUAAUCAAUAUACAUUUGUCAGCUGGUGAUGAAACAUGACAGUUUUUAUGAUGUUGUUCAAUCCAGUUUUCUCUAAAAUUAGUCCAACAGAACGCAAUAUGUAAACGUAGGUUUCUGAUAAGGAAGAUCUCAGCUUGUUCGUCUACUUCAAAAGUACACGCAUGUCAAAAAUUGAGAAAAUAUUGAUGAAUCCUUGUAUAUUCGUGCGAGUCUGUUUUACUCACUACGAUUAUACUACCUUCAUUUCCUAGAGGGCAGUUGUAUGACAGCUAUAUUUCUAGCAAAAAGUACUUUCCUAUAUAGUUGACUAUUUAUCUCGGUCCGUCUUUUAGUUGUUCUUGGGUGUUCUGUGAUGCUAACUGUUUCUCGGAAAAUUCGGGUUGUGGAAUAUUGGAUCUUGUGACCAUAUCUAAGAAAUCGUCAUCCAUGUCAACUUCAAGAUCCUUGUUCUUGCC